AACGAACGCUGGCGGUGUGCUUCAUACAUGCAAGUCGAACGAUAAGGCCCUUCGGGGUACAUAAGUGGCGGACGGGUGAGUAACGCGUAGGGAAUCUGCCUUAAGGAAGGGGACAACGUUGGGAAACUGACGCUAAUACCCUAUAUGUGGCUAGUUGAGAUACUAGUCAUGAAAUGUUCCGGCGCCUUAAGGUGAGCCUGCGUCUGAUUAGCUAGUAGGUGGGGUAAGAGCUUACCAAGGCGACGAUCAGUAGCUGGUCUGAGAGGAUGAUCAGCCACAAUGGGACUGAGACACGGCCCAUACUCCUACGGGGGGCAGCAGUAGGGAAUUUUGCGCAAUGGGCGAAAGCCUGACGCAGCAACACCGCGUGAGCGAAGAAGCCCUUCGGGGUGUAAAACUCUGUCGGCAGGGACGAAAAAAUGACGGUACCUGCAAAGGAAGCAUCGGCUAACUACGUGCCAGCCGCCGCGGUAA
rnacentral:rRNA from 1 species